AGCGACUAAGCGUACACGGUGGAUGCCCUGGCAGUCAGAGGCGAUGAAGGGCGUGCUAAUCUGCGAUAAGCGCCGGUAAGGUGAUAUGAACCGUUAUAACCGGCGAUACCCGAAUGGGGAAACCCAGUGUGACUCGUCACACUAUCAUUAACUGAAUCCAUAGGUUAAUGAGGCGAACCGGGGGAACUGAAACAUCUAAGUACCCCGAGGAAAAGAAAUCAACCGAGAUUCCCCCAGUAGCGGCGAGCGAACGGGGAGGAGCCCAGAGCCUGAAUCAGCAUGUGUGUUAGUGGAAGCGUCUGGAAAGGCGCGCGAUACAGGGUGACAGCCCCGUACACAAAAGCGCAUGUGCUGUGAGCUCGAUGAGUAGGGCGGGACACGUGGUAUCCUGUCUGAAUAUGGGGGGACCAUCCUCCAAGGCUAAAUACUCCUGACUGACCGAUAGUGAACCAGUACCGUGAGGGAAAGGCGAAAAGAACCCCGGCGAGGGGAGUGAAAAAGAACCUGAAACCGUGUACGUACAAGCAGUGGGAGCACAGGUUUACCUGUGUGACUGCGUACCUUUUGUAUAAUGGGUCAGCGACUUAUAUUCUGUAGCAAGGUUAACCGAAUAGGGGAGCCGGAGGGAAACCGAGUCUUAAUUGGGCGUUAAGUUGCAGGGUAUAGACCCGAAACCCGGUGAUCUAGCCAUGGGCAGGUUGAAGGUUGGGUAACACUAACUGGAGGACCGAACCGACUAAUGUUGAAAAAUUAGCGGAUGACCUGUGGCUGGGGGUGAAAGGCCAAUCAAACCGGGAGAUAGCUGGUUCUCCCCGAAAGCUAUUUAGGUAGCGCCUCGUGAAUUCAUCUCCGGGGGUAGAGCACUGUUUCGGCUAGGGGGCCAUCCCGGCUUACCAACCCGAUGCAAACUGCGAAUACCGGAGAAUGUUAUCACGGGAGACACACGGCGGGUGCUAACGUCCGUCGUGAAGAGGGAAACAACCCAGACCGCCAGCUAAGGUCCCAAAGUCAUGGUUAAGUGGGAAACGAUGUGGGAAGGCCCAGACAGCCAGGAUGUUGGCUUAGAAGCAGCCAUCAUUUAAAGAAAGCGUAAUAGCUCACUGGUCGAGUCGGCCUGCGCGGAAGAUGUAACGGGGCUAAACCAUGCACCGAAGCUGCGGCAGCGACACUGUGUGUUGUUGGGUAGGGGAGCGUUCUGUAAGCCUGUGAAGGUGUGUCGUGAGGC
rnacentral:rRNA from 1 species